rnacentral:rRNA from 1 species
UACGGAGGGGGCUAGCGUUGUUCGGAAUUACUGGGCGUAAAGCGCACGUAGGCGGCCUUUUAAGUCAGGGGUGAAAUCCCGGGGCUCAACCCCGGAACUGCCCUUGAAACUGGGAGGCUAGAAUCUUGGAGAGGCGAGUGGAAUUCCGAGUGUAGAGGUGAAAUUCGUAGAUAUUCGGAGGAACACCAGUGGCGAAGGAGACUCGCUGGACAAGCACUGACGCUGAUGUGCGAAAGCGUGGGGAGCAAACCGG